CCCCUCCGCGCGCCCGGCCCGCGCAGCCGCAGUGCGGCGCUCCGGGAAGGCUUGCGCUGCGCCGCGGGGCGGGUCUUCGCGAGCGCGCUCGCCCUCCCGGCUUCUGGUUUCUAGCCGGAGCCGGCCUUCUCCAAGGUUAUAACUGAAGCGCAAUUGCUUCUUGGAAGGAUGGUUUCAGCCCCUGCGCCCUUUAGUCAACGGUUGGCCUUCAAGAGUCGGAAGAGCGCUGUGGGAAUCUCUUGUGACAACACUGAGUCAAGGAUUCGGUGCCAGCUUGUAGAGCUGAUUUGCGAAGUUGUAGAAUCUCUAGGAGAUGGCAUCUAGCUGGAGGGAUUGUGCUCUUGCCUUACAGCCCUGUCCCAUUUCCUGUCUCUCCCUGCUUCCUGGUGGCCUGAGGUGUUUCAGCUGCACGCCCCUGCCAUGAACUCCGCUGUGUCUUCUCUCUCGUGAUGGAUUGUACCCGUUUAAACUGUGAGCCAAAAUAAAUCUUUCUUCCCUUUCA